rnacentral:rRNA from 1 species
GUGUCAGCCGCCGCGGUAAUACCGGCAGCCCGAGUGAUGGCCGAUCUUAUUGGGCCUAAGGCGUCCGUAGCUGGCCGCACAAGUCCAUCGGAAAAUCCACCCGCCCAACGCCUGGGCGUCCGUUGGACACUUUGUGGCUUGGGACCGGAAGGCGCGACGGGUACGUCCGGGGUAGGAGUGAAAUCCUGUAAUCCUGCACGGACCGUCGAUGGCGAAAGCACGUCCCGAGGACGGAUCCGACAGUGAGGGACGAAAGCCAGGGUCUCGAACCGGAUUAGAUACCCCUGUAGUCC